UACGGAGGGUGCAAGCAUUAAUCGGAUUUAUUGGGCGUAAAGGGCGCGUAGGCGGCCGCGUAAGUCAGAUGUGAAAUCCUGGGGCUUAACCUCAGAACAGCAUUUGAAACUGCGCGGCUAGAGGGUAGUCGGAGAAAACGGAAUUCCACAAGUAGCGGUGAAAUGCGUAGAUAUGUGGAAGAACAUCUGUGGCGAAGGCGGUUUUCUAGAUUAUUCCUGACGCUGAGGCGCGAAAGCAAGGGGAGCAAACAGG
rnacentral:rRNA from 1 species